CCGUGAGUGGUGGCGUGGGCAGUGUCGCCGGGAGUGAAUGCUCUGGACCGUGUGUGAGAGAACAUGUCAGAGGAAAUUGACCCGGCGGUGCUAAAAGCCACCAAAGAUGCUCUCGGCAAAUUCGUCAAGAAACCGCCGUUGUCGGACAAGCUGCUCAGCAAACCGCCGUUUAAAUUUCUACACGACUUGUUUUCUGCAGUGAUAAGGGACCACGGUUUCAUGGAGGGCUUGUUUACUCCUGCCGAAAUGAAGUCAGACAGCUUCAAGGACAAGGACAGCAAAGUGGCGUACAUUCAGAAAGUCAUCGAUGUGAUGGCACCGAAAGCGAAAAGGAGCUGGAUUUCAAACCGGAUGGCUGAGUGACACUCCUAUUCCUCUUCCUGAACCUCCGCACCGAAGCAAUCCUCCACCAUCCGGAUGGCCGGAUUAUUUCCGGCGGGCGAAAGAGUUUGUUACCGAAGAGAAGCUGGGUAUCAAGCCUGGAAAGGUGGUGGCGGGCCUGGAAGCCAGCAAAACCAAUCUUCUGCUACAGAGCAUUGGAAAUGGCCUGUCCAAUAAGACAAAGACGUCCGAUGCCGUCAAGAAGGUUGUGGAUGGCGAAAAACCUGGGGGAAAAAAGAAGGAUAAAGACAAAAGCAAGAAAUCUAAAGACGGCUCUCCCAAGAAAAACAAGGGUGGCGCAUCCCUCUCUGAUGCCACGAAUAAGUCACCAGAUAAGAAGCCCAAGAAAGAUAAAGAAAAGAAGAAGAAGGAUGAUGGAGAUGACAAGGGUAAAAAGUCAAAGUCCGGCGACGGCGAAAAGCCAAAGAAAAAGAAAGACGCAAAAGGAGAUGCUGGAGAAGACAAAGGCAAAAAGAAGAAAGACGGCACCGGGAAAAAGAAAGAGUAAGUUUUUGCUGGUACAAGCGCAUACAGAAAUAUAAUUUUUCGUUAAUCGUGUCUAAAGGGUGCCAAAUUG